UAGAGUUUGAUCCUGGCUCAGGAUGAACGCUAGCGGCAGGCUUAAUACAUGCAAGUCGUGGGGCAGCAGGUCCGUAGCAAUACGGAUGCUGGCGACCGGCAAACGGGUGCGUAACACGUACGCAACCUUCCUUCAGGCGGGGAAUAGCCCGGGGAAACCCGGAUUAAUACCCCAUAAAAUCUUGGGAUGGCAUCAUCCUAUUAUUAAAGCUUCGGCACCUGAUGAUGGGCGUGCGGCUGAUUAGGUAGUUGGCGGGGUAACGGCCCACCAAGCCAGCGAUCAGUAGCUGAUGUGAGAGCAUGAUCAGCCACACGGGCACUGAGACACGGGCCCGACUCCUACGGGAGGCAGCAGUAAGGAAUAUUGGUCAAUGGACGAAAGUCUGAACCAGCCAUGCCGCGUGGAGGAUGAAGGUCCUCUGGAUUGUAAA
rnacentral:rRNA from 1 species